CUCGGCCAGGGUGAGCCCCGCGUCCCGGCGCCGCUCGGCCCAGGGCAGGGACCCCGCCACGGCCGGGACCGCCCGGCCCGGCCCCAGCCCGCGCCUCCUCGCGCCCCGCACCGCGCCCUCUCCGCGUCCCCGCCCGCGCGGCCGGACCGGGCAGCCAGGGGGCAUUUCCGUCUGGCGAGGCGACUUAAAAUCCUGAGUGUGGGAGUCGGUUUGGCCAGCCCGGCUCUCAGGAUGGAGGGUGCCUUUGGGAAGGAAGAAAAAUCAUUUUUCUUCUCUGGGAAGGUGAACAUUUGUAGCACUGAUUUCCCGGAUCUGGUAACAUGGCAAAAGAUGCCGGUCUAAUUGAAGCCAACGGAGAACUCAAGGUCUUCAUAGACCAGAACCUUAGUCCCGGGAAAGGUGUGGUGUCCCUCGUGGCCGUUCACCCCUCCACCGUCAACCCGCUUGGGAAACAGCUCUUGCCAAAAACCUUUGGACAGUCCAAUGUCAACAUUGCCCAGCAAGUGGUAAUUGGUACGCCUCAGAGACCGGCAGCGUCAAACACCCUGGUGGUAGGAAGCCCACACACCCCCAGCACUCACUUUGCCUCUCAGAACCAGCCUUCCGACUCCUCACCUUGGUCUGCCGGGAAGCGCAACAGGAAAGGAGAGAAGAAUGGCAAGGGCCUGCGGCAUUUCUCCAUGAAGGUCUGCGAGAAGGUGCAGAGGAAAGGGACCACUUCCUACAACGAAGUGGCGGACGAGCUGGUCGCGGAGUUCAGUGCUGCCGACAACCACAUCUUACCAAACGAGUCA
rnacentral:sRNA from 1 species